UACGUAGGGAGCAAGCGUUGUCCGGAAUCAUUGGGCGUAAAGCGCGCGUAGGCGGCCCUGUAAGUCCGUUGUGAAAGUCAAAGGCUCAACCUUUGAAAGCCGAUGGAUACUGCAGGGCUAGAGUCCGGAAGAGGCGAGUGGAAUUCCUGGUGUAGCGGUGAAAUGCGCAGAUAUCAGGAGGAACACCGGUGGCGAAGGCGGUUCUCUGGGCAUUACCUGACGCUGAGGAGCGAAAGUGUGGGGAGCGAACAGG
rnacentral:rRNA from 1 species